GUGAGGAAUUUUCCGCAAUGGGCGAAAGCCUGACGGAGCAAUGCCGCGUGAAGGAUGAAGGCCUAUGGGUUGUAAACUUCUUUUCUUAGAGAAGAAUAUUGACGGUAUCUGAGGAAUAAGCCCCGGCUAACUUCGUGCCAGCAGCCGCGGUAAUACGAAGGGGGCGAGCGUUAUUCGGAAUCACUGGGCGUAAAGCGUGCGUAGGCUGUUUUGUAAGUCAGAAGUGAAAGCCCAGGGCUUAACCCUGGAAUUGCUUUUGAAACUACAAGACUCGAAUUCGGGAGAGGAUAGCGGAAUUGUCAGUGUAGCAGUGAAAUGCGUAGAUAUUGACAGGAACACCAGUGGCGCAAGCGGCUAUCUGGACCGAUAUUGACGCUGAGGCACGAAAGCGUGGGGAGCAAACAGGAUUAGAUACCCCGGUAGUCC
rnacentral:rRNA from 1 species